CGGGACAGUGGCGCACGGGUGAGUAAGACGCAGCUGACCUGCCCUCGGGACGGGGAUAACGAUGCGAAAGCGACGCUAAUACCCGGUAAAAUCGGAGGCGUUAGAGAACUUCGAUGAGAGAUUUAUUGCCUGAGGAGGGGGCUGCGGCCCAUCAGGUAGUUGGUAGGGUAAGAGCCUACCAAGCCGACGACGGGUCGGGGGUCUGAGAGGACGGCCCCCCACACUGGGACUGAGACACGGCCCAG
rnacentral:rRNA from 1 species